UGCUGAUGGAGAAGGAGCUCGCGUACCUCGGGCGCGCGCUGGCCGAGCCGAAGCGGCCGUUCGUCGCGAUCCUCGGCGGC
rnacentral:tRNA from 1 species